GGCUAACGCUGGCGGCGUGUCUUAGCCAUGCAAGUCGAGCGGACUUAUGGGGUAACUUAUAAGUCAGCGGCGGACGGCGGAGUAACACGUAGCUAACCUACCCUCUGGACGGGGAUAACCUACCGAAAGGUGGGCUAAUACCCGAUGUAGUCAUCCUGUAUAGGGGUGAUGAAAGGUGGGCUUCUGUUUACAAGCUCAUGCUGGAGGAGGGGGCUGCGGCCUAUCAGGUAGUUGGUAGGGUAAUAGCCUACCAAGCCGAUGACGGGUAGCCGGCCUGAGAGGGUGACCGGCCCGAGGGGCACUGAGAUACGGGUCCCACUCCUACGGGAGGCAGCAGGCUAGAAAUUUGGGCAAUGGGGGAAACCCUGACCCAGUGACGCCGCGUGGAGGAAGAAGUCCUUCGGGGCGUAAACUCCUGGACUGGGGGACGAGGAAGGACGGUACCCCAGUAGAAAGGGACGGCUAACUACGUG
rnacentral:rRNA from 1 species